UACGAAGGGGGCUAGCGUUGCUCGGAAUUACUGGGCGUAAAGCGCACGUAGGCGGGUUCUUAAGUCGGUGGUGAAAUCCUGGAGCUCAACUCCAGAACUGCCUUCGAAACUGGGAAUCUUGAGUUCGGGAGAGGUGAGUGGAACUGCGAGUGUAGAGGUGAAAUUCGUAGAUAUUCGCAAGAACACCAGUGGCGAAGGCGGCUCACUGGCCCGAUACUGACGCUGAGGUGCGAAAGCGUGGGGAGCAAACAGG
rnacentral:rRNA from 1 species